UACGUAGGCAGCGAGCGUUGUUCGGAGUUACUGGGCGUAAAGGGUGUGUAGGCGGUUGUUUAAGUUUGGUGUGAAAUCUCCCGGCUCAACUGGGAGGGUGCGCCGAAUACUGAAUGACUUGGAGUGCGGGAGAGGAAAGUGGAAUUCCUGGUGUAGCGGUGAAAUGCGUAGAUAUCAGGAGGAACACCGGUGGUGUAGACGGCUUUCUGGACCGUAACUGACGCUGAGACACGAAAGCGUGGGUAGAAAACAGG
rnacentral:rRNA from 1 species